AUGUGAUCGUCUCUCGCAUAUCAAUAAGCGGAGGAAAAGUCGACUACCUACGCUUAGGAUGUUGACGAGACUGUCGAUCUCAUCUAUACAUGACUCUGUGCAUAUCAAUAAGCGGAGGAAAAGAAACUAACAAGGAUUCCCCUAGUAACGGCGAGUGAAGCGGGAAGAGCUCAAAUUUGAAAUCUUAAAGGGUUUCCCUUUACGAAUUGUAGUUUAAAGAAGUGUUUUCUGUUGAGGUUUUGGUAAAAGUUCUUUGGAAUAGGACAUCAUAGAGGGUGAGAAUCCCGUAUUUGACCUUUACUUUCAACUUUGUGAUACACUUUCAAAGAGUCGGAUUGUUUGGGAAUGCAGUCCAAAAUGGGUGGUAAAUUUCAUCUAAAGCUAAAUAUUGGCGAGAGACCGAUAGCGAACAAGUACCGUGAGGGAAAGAUGAAAAGAACUUUGAAAAGAGAGUUAAACAGUACGUGAAAUUGUCAAAAGGGAAGCGUUUGACACCAGUGUUGUUUUUCUGAAAAUCAAUUAAAGAACUGUUUAUGCUAAGCUGUUUAGACUUUAUCAGCUAUCUGUUUAGUUUUGAGCUUUUCUUUAAUGCACUUUUCAGUUAACAAGUCAACAUCAAUUUCUUUUGCUGUAAAAAAGCUUGAGGAAGGUGGCUUGAGAUUCGUCUUAAGUGUUUAUAGCCUCUUGCCUAUGCAGUCGGAGAGAUUGAGGUCUGCAGCGUAGAUCCUUCGGGGCUAAAUGCAUUUGUGCUAAGUUAUAGCAUUUUAUAGACAACUUGUUGACUAUGAUUUGUCUUGUAGCUUACUCGCUUAUGUUAUUUUACCUACGCUUAGGAUGUUGAUCUCUCACAGUCGAGC
rnacentral:rRNA from 1 species